UCCCCUUCUUCGCCUUUUGGCUAAGAUCAAGUUUAGUAUUUGUUCUUAUCAGUUUAAUAUCUAACACGUGGUCCAAUGGACCUCAUGAUGUUAAGUUCUUAUCAGUUUAAUAUCUGAUAUGUGGUCCAAUGAACGUCAUGAUGUUAAAUUAAUUUUUCUCUGGGGGAGGGACCACCAUACUAGCUUACUAGUGGGUCCCUUGGGCGUCGCCCAUGCAUUGCACUACUGCAGGGGCCUGACGCACCCCUA
rnacentral:snRNA from 1 species